AGUGAACGCUGGCGGUAGGCCUAACACAUGCAAGUCGAACGGCAGCACAGUAAGUGCUUGCUCUUACGGGUGGCGAGUGGCGGACGGGUGAGGAAUACAUCGGAAUCUACUUUUUCGUGGGGGCUAACGUAGGGAAACUUACGCUAAUACAGCAUACGACCUACGGGUGAAAGCAGGGGAUCUUCGGACCUUGCGCGAUUGAAUGAGCCGAUGUCGGAUUCGCUAGUUGGCGGGGUAAAGGCCCACCAAGGCGACGAUCCGAAGCUGGUCUGAGCGGAUGAUCAGCCACACGGGAACUGAGACACGGUCCCUACUCCUGCGGGAGGCAGCAGUCGGGAAUAUUAGGCAAUGGGCGCGAGCCUGAUACAGCCAUACCGCGUGGGUGAAGAAGGCGUUCGGGUGGUAAAGCCCUUUUGUUGGGAAAGAAAAGCAGCAGGUUAAUACCCCGCUAUACUGACGGUACCCAAAGAAUAAGCACCGGCUAACUUCGUG
rnacentral:rRNA from 1 species